UCAUCAGCGGCGUGGCAUCCGCAGUCACGACCCGAACUUAAUCAUCAAUGCAGGUUGGUUAGUUAAAAACUCCGAGGAGAGCGAGUGCGCUGCACUUUUGCCCAUCACCCCAGCCACAUUCCAUUUGCAUUUGACAAGCGGGAAACUCCCCCAGAUAUGGUCUCGAAAAUGUAGGGAAUAGACAAAAACUGCAGAUCCAACCCUCGCCACUUUAAAUAAUGAUUUGUUCCGGCAACUUCUAGCCAUCGCAAGUUCUCAUCCCGAUUUCAUUUCUUGCUCUCGUUACAGGUAAUUAGAGAUGCCAGUCAGCCAGGCAGCAGGACAUUUGCAGCUUUGGCACGCUUCACUGGCACUUAUUCCGGCAGUGGGCGUGGCCCUAAUUAACAAAUUGUCUGCCAUUAAUUAGUUGGUGUCCAAUUUCUAAGCCCACUAGCUUUACUUAAAGCCCUGUUUGGCAUGCUUUAAACACUUCUCAUCGAGAGUCACUGCAUUGUCCUGGCGGCUGGCAGAAAUGCAAAUUUCUUGGCCAAACAACAACAUGUGCUGCUCCGUCGUUCGUGGGCCAAAUGCAUUCAUGGGAGCACAAGGCAACUGAGCCAAAGCCGGCAAAUAAACACUGUCCGCCCACCACCCCCCAAUGGCCACCUAAAGCAGGGGGCGUGGCAGCCGGCAGACAGUGAGGGCAAUGACUAAAGACAAAAAACCACAUGUCAGCCCGGCCGGGAACCCUUUAACGGGCACAAAAACCAGCCAAAGGGGUGUGACCCAGACCCACACCCGCACCCACACCAUUCCCCAACCCCCCUCCACCAUUCCACAAUGCUCAGAACACAGAACCCAGGGCACUCCCCAAUCAACAAUCGACGUCAUCAACUUCAAGGCUGGACAAACAGAAAGAGAGGGGGCUAUGGGGGGAGUGACAGAGACAGCAGGGCACGCGAUACUGUGGUUUGUCAUUGCCGGGAUGACGACGUCAUGAUAGUGGCUGCAGGAAUAUGGAUGAGCUCUGGGUUUCGAGCCCUCCGGCGCUGUUGGCUUAGAAAGUUCAUUGUCUUGCCGGCAAUCGCAAAAUGGAAAGUGGUUGGGUGGUUGUGAAUGCUUAAAGCUUAAAGAGGGGUGCAAAUUGCAAAUUGCAUGCAAAGCCUGCGACUGCAUUAGUUUUCCCGCCUGCAGCCAUAUGGUUGGUGUCUCUGUUCUGAGUCGAAGUUCCACUGAGUCCUGAAUCGUGAGUCCUGAAUCCUGUGAAAAAUCCCUCCCCACUGCAGUUGCCUAACCUCAUUUUGCAGUGAAAAGAAGUUGAGGCUGCAUUGUAUGCCGCCUGCAGACAAUUGAAUUUUAAUUUGUAUAACUUUAGUGCCAGACAGUUGGAGGGGUUGGCCGUGUUGGGAAUGGGGCGGCUUGCAACCGUCCCCCCCCCAUCCAUCGUGUCCCUUUCAACGCUUUUAAAGCCCCUCCAUUGAAGCCUUGCCGGCGGCCAUGCAACGGAAAAUUGUACAUAUUUCAGGCGACGAGGGUCCUGGCUGCACACUUCUGUUUAAUGGAGUCAUGCAUAGAGGCUCUUUAAGCGGACUCGUCCUGCCACUAAAUCCUUUUUGUUUUAGUUCACUCUCGCCGUUGUUGUUGCUGCAAAACAAUUUGCAAAUUGCUGGCCAAAAAAUGGCGCCGCAAAGCUCACCUGAAAGCCACCCAAACACCCUUUGCCAUCGCCAUCAAUUCAAGAGCAAUUACAAAAGACAAACGGAGCAAGGACCCUAAACCUAUACUCACACACACUUACAUACACACACACACACAUACAGAGAUUGCACAACAACAAUGGCACAACUUUAACGGCUGGUCGCCUUGAUCAUUAUCAGGCAGGAGUCGUUGGCCAAGUGCACGACACGGGCCAAAACCGAGAACAGGAUGAGGAGCUAUGCGAGGAUGUGGCUGGCGAACCGGGAACCCAGGACGAGUGCUGCUACGAAGAGGUUGAGGACGAGGACGUGACUCUUAAGUGACUGCUGUGGUGGCGUUUUGUGGCCAUGUUUUGGGGUGUCAGGCUCGACUGCACAAACACAAUAACACCCAACACCAUGAACACCAGGCCGAACUGACAGAGACGGGUAGAGGUCCUUGGAGAGAGACAACAGGCAGCACAUAUGCAGCGAUGACAAUAAAUGGCUUUCAGUGGAAAAAUCAGAAGUUGGCCAUAAAGUUGAUCCUACCAACUAUUGAACCUUUACAAUGGAGGAAGACAGAAAGUGCAGAGCGAGAAAUUAAGUGAUGGAAAUAGAAUUUUCAUAAAUAUAUAUUUUAAGCAACAUAACUUUUAAAGGCUUAAAAACAUUACAAGCA